UUUUUUUUUUUUUGCAGCUUUUUUAAAGUUUGAAAUUGUAUCAAAAUUUUUAAAAGAUUUUAAAAGGUAUGUACAUGGAAGAACCCAAGCAUUCACUGGUGAAUAAAUGGAUAAAGAAAUCACAGGAUAUGCAUAUAAUGGGAUAUUAGCUUUAAAAAGGAAGGGGAUUCUAUCACAUGCUACAACAUGGAUGAACUCUGAGGAAAUUAUGUUAAAUGAAAUAAGCCAGUCACAAAACCAAUGUAUGGAUUCCACUUAUAUGAGGUAUAUGGAGUAGUCGAAUUCACAGACAAGAAAUGACUUGGUGGUAAUGAACCCAACUAACAUCCAUGAGGACAGAGGUUCCAUCCCCGGCCUUGCUCAGUAGGUUAAGGAUCCAGUGUUGCUGUGAGCUGUGGCUGGCAGCUGUAGCUCCAAUUCAACCCCUAGUCCUGGAACCUCCGUGUGCAGUGGGUGCAGCCCUAAAAAGCGAAAAAAUUAAAAUAAAAAAAAAAAAUGGUCAAGAUGGUUAAGUUUUAUGGUAUGUGAAUUUUACCACAAUUAAAAAAACUAAAAUUUUAGUUUUUUAGUACAUAAUGAAUUUCUUUUAAAAAGAUAUAUACAAAAUAGUCAAGCUUUUGCAAAAAUAGUUACAACCUUUUCUGUUAACAGUGUUAAUAACCAAAAUGUCCUUUAAGAGGAGAUGUACAUAAACAGUGGGAAAGAAGUGGAAAAUGUAGACUUACAAAUACUAUGUUUAAUAUACUCUUUGUGAAUAAAAAUUAAAUUGUUCAGGGUUUUUUGUUGUUGUUGUUGUUCUUUUAUCCAUUUCUCUCCCAAAUAUCUAACAGAGAUACACCAUAAGAUUAGAAGUAGUAAUACCCAGGUGGUAGAAUUAGGAAGGGAAAUAUUUUCUACAUGUAUGUCAUAAGCGGCUUUUUAAAAACAUUUUGUUUAAUAUUAAAAACAAAACAUAGAGAACAUGAAAAUAACUGCAUUCUCACUACUAGAUUUAACAACCCAAAAAAAAAAAAUUUUUUUUUUUGGCUGUGUCCACAGCAUGCAGAACUCCCAGGGCCUGGGAUCAAACCCAAGCCACAGCAGUGACCCAAGCCACAGCAGACAACACCAGAUCCUUAAUCUGCUGAGCCACCAGGGAGCUCCCAGAUUUAACCAGUUUUAGUGUCUGUUAUAUUUGCAUCAUGUCUGCCUGCUAUCAAUACACUCAGACCAGCUCAUGAACCCAUGAGGCCCUGCUUGGUUGGGCUGUAGUACAGUCCUGAAAGCCCCCUUUCCCCAUAUGUGGAGACCCAUGAAGGAGCAAAGCGUGGCCCCCACUCUGUUUUUUACUCUCUACCCUCUCCAUUCUUCAGUACUUGUAUUAAUUGGCUCCUUGUCUUCCACACAACCCCUUCAUAGACAAUAAGCGUUAGGAUCAUGUGAAGGAAAAGUUUUAAGUUGCAAGAUUAAGGAUGCGCAGUUUGGGAAAUUAAUCUUUGCUUCGCCAAGUUUUGCAAUAAACACUCAGUGAUAUGCUGGAUGUGCUAUCAGUUAUUUACACACUUGAUGAACAGGCAGUCACUUGGCUGGUCUCCAGAAGAGCAGGAGGGGACAACCACCCCUCAAGAGAAUGACACAAGAUGAGCUUUUGAAAGGGCCCCCAAAGAGCCUUGUCCUAAUUAUGGGGUACUGGCAGUGACUGGGUACCCAAUGGGAAGUGCUACUGUGCCCCUGCUCUGGACAGGGGUAAGCUGCUUCCCUUAUCUACACUAAAGCAUGGAUACAUUUUACCUAGCAGCUGAUGCCUUUCAAUUAAUUAUACCACAUCAGCUAACUGCAUGGGCAACCCGGAUUGUGAGAAACAUUAAGAGUCAUCACCUAAGCCUUACCUCUAAAAUAGUGAUGUGUUGGUGGUUACAAUGCUUGUACAAUGCUUGUUAAUAAACAAGCACCAUCACGCUUCUCUGAGAACCAAAAAUCUGAACUGUGACAUACUUUAAAUUCUUCCUGGAGACAAGUGAAUACAGGGUCAGCUUGAAAGAAAAUGUAAGUUAUAUUUUAUUUAAGGAUGAAAAUGUUUGACACAAUUUAUGCAUGAAAUCAGGACUCAGAGGAAAAAAAAGAUUUUCGAGUCUUAUUUAUAAUGUAUUCCUGCAUUAUGGAUACGCCUAUCUUCUUUAAUUAGUUGGAGUACCCCAACCAUGCCUAUCCUGAUGCGGAGGUAACAUUUCAUGAUUUGAGAAAUCUGAGAUGAGUAUAUGGCAUAUAUAUGGCAGUAGAUGUUUACUGACAUUCUAGAAGGUGAAUUCCAAUUAAUUAAACUCCUAUUCUGCUUGAAGCCCAGAUGGCUAGCUGUGUCAAACAUUCAGGAAGACCACAAUAGGAGAGCCACACCAAGGGUUGGCUACCACUCAGACAAUACUGAAAACACUUUCUACUAAUUUCCGAUACUUUAGGUUGCAUGUGCUUACCCAUUACGCUUUACAACCUUUAAGAGGUUCUAAGCUGGAAAUGGCUAUGGGGUUCCUAUUGUGUUCCCUGACACAAUAACUCAGUAGCAAGGUUAGCAGGAUAUCAUAUGACUAUGGUUAAUUCUGCUCCUUAGGCAAAAUCUACAUUAUGUUUUACAGAAGCUCUGAAGUAACUUGGUUGGUGUCUUAUAAAACAGAAUUAAAUGGACAAGUGUCAUCUGUUCAAGUGAGAAAGCUACACAUUACAUAGAAAAUGAAGUGAUAAGUUUUUUGAUAUCUCGUCAGUUUAGUUUUUAAAACAUAUUCAGAUAGUUUAUAUUACAUAUUAAAGUUUGGUUAUCAACUUGGCUUCUUAAGUCUAUUUCAUUUGGUUCACUUCCAUCUGUCGAUGCUCUUUGAUACAUCAUUGUAAACAUACCUUCCUUUAAACAUAUUUAUAAUUAUAUAAUUUUUAAACAUAUUAAUUUGAAAUCUGUCUUAAACAUCUGAAACCCACUGAAAGGCACUUUCCUUCGCUUAUUUUUUUGCCUGCUUAUGGUCACACUUCCCAUUUUCAUUGCAUAUCUUACAACUUUUGUUGAAGACUGGACAUCUUAGAUAAUAUAUUGUACCAACUCCGGUUACUUAUUCUCCCUGUGUCGGGCAGGGGUUGUUCUUGUCGUUUGGCUCACUGGUUGUUUGUUUAGUGAUUGGUCAUACUAUAUAUCUCUGAAGUCUAUUUACCCUGCAAUGUGCAGUUCAGACUUUUCAAAGUCCCUGCUCAGGCAUUUCCCUUGUUUUAAUCUUUUAGCCUAGAUUCCCACAGGUCACCCCUGGGUCCACAUAAAACAGUUACUGGUCAAAGGUUGUGCUUAAGCCUCCUUAACUAGUCAGGUUUUCACCCUUUGAAUGUGUGUGCGGCUUGGAGACUGCUUUCAUUUUUCAAGGAAUUUAUGAUUUUGUCCUGCAUUCAGCGAGGGACCAGUAGCUCGGAGGCACGCUCUCUGGGAAUACUGAGAGGGUGCAGCCCUGGGCGUGCACAGUCUUCCACACCACCAGGGAUAAACGUGCAGUGUGGCUUUCUAGGAAUUUUCCGAGAGUCAGAAUAAUUUACUGUUUAGUCAGUGUUUGUUCUUAGGUUUCUCAAGCCCUUUGAGCCGGUAAGACUUCCUUCCACAUUUUGCUGAUGAAUGUGUGUGGCUUGAAGAACGCUUUCAAGUCCACCCUACAGUCUCUACUCAAAGUGCUCCUGAGUGAGAACAGCCUAAUGCAUGUACACAGCCUUCCACAUCCUCAGAAAUGGCUGUGAUCCCCAGCAGGGCUCUCUGUGUGGCAGUCCUUUUCCUUGGUUCUGAUAAAUUUCUGGCUGGUUUACCUUUUUGCUCCUCGUAUCAAAGAGCCACCUUCCCUCUCUUGCACUAGUUUUGAACAAUGCCCUUAGACAUGACUUCUAUAGGCUUUGUUCCAAAUAAAGCCAGGGUCUGCAGGUCCCCACCCCCAACAACAAAGAACCCUUACCAACACAGAGGUGCUGCGGAGGAGGACAGCAAUUCACUUCUCCUAGAGUGACCCCCUCCUUCCUCUUGGCUUGCCCUUCCUGGUAUAGUCCACCUCUACCCUUUGAGCAAGCUGGGACAAGGGCAAUCAGGGUUUCAGUAUCUUUGGCUUGUUAUGUCUGGGGCUGAGGUCAUUGAGUAGAAGCUGGGUCAGGGAAGCACCCCUAUCCUCUCACCUAACCCUGUCCAGAACACUCCUGCAAUGCAGGGCUGGAGGCAGAUAAGGGAUGUUGGCUGCCUGUCCCUCUUGGGGUGAAACUGUAUUCCUAGACUUGAAGUGGGGGGGAGAAAGAGCUCUGUAUUCUUGGUCACAUCUGCUUGGAGAGACCUUAACACAGAGUUACCAGAAGUAGUGAAUGGGUAUAGGUGGUGUCUCAAAUGCUCUUGCUGUUCUUAUCAAGAUUUAGCAGAUACUGUAGAAUAAGUGUUUUCUCCCAUUUGCUACAUACUCUUAAGAUGAUUUCUAGAUUUUUUUUUUAAUUUUUAAAAUUAUUUUCACUAAACGGUUGUUUCAUUAGGGAGAGGGCCCACCAACUUUCUUACGCAGCCAUCCCAUUCCAAAAAUUCCCACUCUAGAAAAUUAAAACAUGUAUACAAGAUGACAGAAUUUGCACCUUUCCUAGAUUACCGGUAUGUGUUUGCUCAGUUCUUGAAUGACUCAACACUGUUUAUACGACAGUCUAUAUUUUAGAAAAAGAAAACGCAAAAAUCUUUAAGAACUACAUUAAUGAGAAAUUCCUAUAUACUAAUCAAGCAACAUGAGUUUACUAUUUUGUCUGUGACGAAAUAUAAAUAUUACUGAACACCCAGAAUGUGACUACAUUAGAAAAUGCACCACCCUCUCCCUUUUCAAGGAUUAUUUUUAACAGUUUCAAAGAUAAAAUACACCAUUGUUUAAAUGCUGGACAUAUAUGCGUAGCCAUGUAUCAUUUUGGUUGCUUAGAAACUAUAAGGCAUGGCCUGAAUAAGCAAAAUUACAGCAGCAGAAAGAUGGAACCCUUUGUUUAAAAAAGGUUCUAAGAAAAAAAUGUCUCAGCUAUAAUUACAUAUUUUGAAUAUGAAACUGCAAAGUAAACAAACAUAAUGGAAGGUUUAGGAUGUCACAUGUGAAGACGUCUUCUCAAGCAAAAGCACUUUAAUUCCUUUUGCUCUUGAGUUACAUACUUCAACUUAGCUGUAGUUCACCAAGCAAAAAGAAUAACUUUAAUGAAUGUACAAAAUUUCCAUAACCCCAUGCAUCAAAGUGUCAAAAAACCACCAAGAAAGAAAAGCUGACCUAUAUUUAUGAACCCCAAAGGUCAGUGUGAAAUCAACUUUACACGAGGCUCAGGAGGUGUAAAAAUUUAAUUUCACUCAAUUCUGACUAUUUAAGAGCAUAGGCAAGCCAGCAACAGCCCCGUACAUUUAACAGGAAAUUUCAAACCUGAUUAUAUUUAAAACGACAAAAGAAGAUCUGCAAAGAAUGUAGUACCUCUAAUCACAAAUAGAAAAUAUUUACUCAAGUUGGUUCUACUUUAUAUUAAUUACGAAACAUCCACCACAACUUAAACAGCUGGUUAUAGCUAAGCAAAAAGUAAUCUGUAAUAAUUAAAUGAUCUUAAAUUCUAAUUGCUGAUAUUCACCCUGGAUCAUUAUUCUCUCUGAAGAUAUAUGUGUCUUUAAGUAUUCGACUUCCUCUGAAAUAAAGCAAAAUCUAAAAAAUAAAGCAGUGAAAGAACAAGUGGCUAAAGCAAGAAUUUCUCAAGCAAGAAAACAAUGUUCUGUUCUAUUCCUUUGUAGAAGGAGAGGAGAACAAUGAUUUUUAAAGUUGUCGAUAGUUACAGUUCCAUAGAGGAUAGGAAAAUUAACUUAGAAACCAUUAAGAAAUACCAUAUAAAAUUCAAAAUUUGUUAUACACAGUCUCUCUCACAGGUUUUCAUAGUUCGUUUGUGAGCUACCAAUCUUGGGAGAUUUACGCAAUUUGGAAAUGGUGUUCAUUUUCCUGGCUGUACAGAGAUCAAAUAGAAGGAAAGGAUUUACCACACAAAAGGGCAGUGGCCUCCCUGUAUGUUCUAAAGAUCAGCAAAGGGACCCGCAUGCUUCCUUGAGUUUAAUAAUAGUGCCAACUUCACACAACCUGAUUUCCACUUAACAUUUCUUGAUCAUUUCUUAAAACAUGACGAACAGUCUGAAAAAUUCAUGAGAAAAUAGACUAUUUUCUAUUCUCCUAUAUUCAACCGAAUUCUAGGGUUAGAGUAGUUUUAUUUAGGGUCCAAUCUGACUUUCUAUUGAGUUAAUACACAUAAGGCCUAGAGAAUAAUACCUGUAUAGAAAAUCCAAUAAAUGGGAACUGCUCUCCUCCAUCCUUAUCCUGCAGACAACCUCCCCAACACGGAAGUCACCAAGGGCUUUCACCUCAUUUCUAAUGACAUUUGUCUUCAUUCUGCUUCAGCAACCAUUCCCAAGGCAAUAAUAACCUGACCCUCAGGACCCCAAACUAUCCAUUUCAGAAAAUUUUAAACUCACCAUCACAUACUCUGACCACAAUCUACUUUACUCCCACUGUCUGUACUUCUCUCCUUUAUUCCUACUAUUCUUGCUUCUCUUCCCCAGUUCCUCUAAAGUGAUCGGUUUAAUGUCAGUCUCACGUCCUUAUCUAACCCAGCCCAAAUUCCUAUGGUCCAUUAUUUGGACUACUGUGACCAAUUCCUAACUUCCUUGCAAUCUCUGCCUUCUGUUCCAUGGGCCCCAAUAAACAAACCCUGAAUCUGAAUCAGUCCCAAAGUCUGCUUCUAAUCUAGGCUGCCAAACUUUGUUAGAAACAGUUACACAACUGGGCAGGCUUAGGGCCACUUCAAACCAACCAGCCUCUCUUCAGCUCUCCCUGUGGGCUGGCUCCUGAUCUUCAGCACAUAAACAUGGUAAAAUAUGGUCCCAUGAUACACGCUGAAAAACAAACAAAAAGGCUCACUUUUGAGCCUCAACUCCAAAGCUAUCACUAUCUCUUAUUCAAGAUUCUCAAGACAGAAAAUCUAGAUGACUUCAGGUUUAAUAAGGACUUGAAGGUGUAAUACCAAAAGCAAAGCCCAUGAAGAAAAGAUUGAUAAACUGAACUUAUUAAAACUAAUCUCUGCUCUGCUAAAGACACUGUCAACAGGAUGAGAAGCCAAGCCAUAGACCAGAAGAAAAUAUUUUCAAGGACAUCUCUGAUAAAGGACUGUUAUCCAAAAUAUACAAACAACUCUUAAAACUCAACAGUAAGAACACAGGCAACCCAAUUAUAAAAUGGACCUAGGCUUUGACAGACACCUUACCAAAGAUGUACAGAUGGCAAAAAAUUAUAUGAAAAGACAUUCCACAUCAUAUGUCAUCAGAGAAAUGCGAAUUAAAACAAAAUACUAUAUACACUAAUCAGAAUGGCUAAAAUCCAAAACACUGACAACACCAAAUGCUGGUGAAGGUGUGGAGCAACAGGAACUCUCAUUCAUUGCUAGUGAGAAGGCAAAAUGGUACAACCACCUUGGAAGACAACUGUUUCGUGACGUCUUACAAAACUAAACAUAUUCUUACCAUGUGAUCCAGCAAUCAAGCUCCUUGGUAUUUACCCAAGGGGCUAGAAAACUUAAGCCCACAAAUAACCCUGAACAUGGGUAUUUAUAGAAGUUUUAUCCAUAAGUGCCAAAACAUGAAAGCAACCAAGAUGUCCUUCAAUGGGUGAAUGUAUAAAUCAACUGUGAUAUAUCCAGACAACGGAAUACUAUUCAGGGCUAAUGAAAAAUGAAUUAUCAAGCCACAAAAAGACAUGGAGAAAGUUGAAACGCAUAUUACUAAGUGAAAGACGCCAAUGUAAAACAGCUAUGUAAUGUAUGACUCCAACUAUACAACAUUCUGAAAAAGGCAAAACUAUGUAGACAGAAAAAAAAAAAAAAAAAGAUCAAUGGUUGCCAGGGGUUACAGGGAGGGAGGGAGGAAUAGCUAGAGCAUGGAGAAUUUCUGCAGCAGAAGAACCACUCUGCAUGUCACUACAACCGUGGAUGUGAGUCAUGAUACAUUUGUUCAAACCCAGAGAAUAUAUAACACCAAGAGUGAAUCCUAUGGACUUCAGGUGAUAAAUGAUCUGGUCGGGAUGCUGAUGAUGGGGAGACUGUGCAUGUGUGAGGGCAGGGAGUACAUGAGAAAUCUCUGUAACUUUGCCUUGAUUUUGCUGUGGACUUAAAACUGCUCUAAAAAAUGAAGUCAAGAUAUAUAUUCUUAUUUGAUUUAGGCCUAAGAAGAGAUGUACAUAGUAAUAAUAUCAGAUGACAAGAAAGCCUACAUAACAAAGAUUAAUAACUCUAAAAGAACCACCACCACAUGUUCACUGAGUAACUGACUACUGAGAGUCACAUACUGUAACUAGGAACCAAACCCACCAUAAGGAAGUAGGGGCUUACAGAAAUGAAGAGACUGGGACUCACAG
ensembl:lncRNA